rnacentral:rRNA from 1 species
CCCUUAGAUGUUCUGGGCCGCACGCGCGCUACAAUGAUGAAUUCAACGAGUUUAUAACCUUGGUUGAAAAGCCUGGGUAAUCUUUUGAACUUUCGUCGUGAUGGGGCUAGACCCUUGCAAUUAUUGGUCUCCAACGAGGAAUUCCUAGUAAACGCAAGUCAUCAGCUUGCAUUGAUUACGUCCCUGCCCUUUGUACACGCCGCCCGUCGCACCUACCGAUUGAAUGGUCCGGUGAAAUCUUCGGAUUGAGACUUUGAUUUGUUUACUCAAAACGCUGUUUCAAGAAGUUGAUUAAACCUUACCAUUUAGAGGAAGGUGAAGUCGUAACA